UGGUUGACGUUCUCCCGAAAUGGUACUCUCCUACUGACGGGCCUACUGACACCGUUGUGAUCUAUCUCAGAAGUUUAAAUUCUACGGUAAUCCACCAGAGUCCAAGAGUAAACUCUCAGAGAGGGGUGGCAGUCCGAUUUUGUCAGCUUACUCGACUUGGAGAGGGAAGAUAAUGUACAUUUUACAUUUGACCAGAAUGUAUGCGAUGGGCUGCAUCAUGGUUUUGAAGGAAAAGGUUACACUAUUUAUUACAGACAGCAAGAAAACAUCAUUGAACACCACCAACUAAUAAGACUCCAAAGGAAUAAUGGAAAAUAAGAUAUUUAAAGCUGUCAAAAAGCAGAGUUUAGAGUUCAGUGGAUUCCAUGACAGUACUUUGGAUAAUGUUAA